rnacentral:rRNA from 1 species
UACGUAGGGUGCAGGCGUUAAUCGGAAUUACUGGGCGUAAAGCGUGCGCAGGCGGUCUUUUAAGUCAGAUGUGAAAUCCCCGGGCUUAACCUGGGAACUGCGUUUGAAACUGGAAGGCUAGAGUGUGGCAGAGGGGGGUGGAAUUCCACGUGUAGCAGUGAAAUGCGUAGAUAUCUGGAGGAACACCGGUGGCGAAGGCGGCAUCCUGGACCGGUAUUGACGCUGAGGCGCGAAAGCCAGGGGAGCAAACGGG